GGUAUCAUAUUAUAAAUGACUAAAUAGCUACUGUUAUAGUUAGGAAUAAAACUCCUGUGUUAAUCGCAAGUCCUAAUGGAUUUAGCAAAUAAUUAAAAUUUAGUUUUAAAUCAUACGAGCAAGCAAAUGUAGAUAGAUAAACCAUCAUAAUGCAUCAAAGUAGUGAAAUAUUUUGCCAACUUUCGACGACUCUUGAAUGACCACGAAAGAAAAUAUAACGGACAACUUUGCAGUCUUGAAAUUUCUCCCCGCUCCUCCUCUGUUCAGAUUUCUGUUCAGAUUUUUUAGGAGAGGGGGUGAGAGAAACAAAUGGCAAGGAAUGGAGAAUAAAUGCCGGUCACAGGUCUAGCGACGAAAUAGAGUCUUAAGCAGGACUCGUAGAACUCGUCAACUCCGGUGUUCAUGCAAACAAAGAAAACAGAAAAAAGAAGUUAGAGGAGAAAUCUGAUUCUUGAAUAGUGUCUAAGAGAGGAUAAUAGUCGUUUGAAAGUUCUAUUAAUCGUCUCUAGGAACAUGUUACAAAUUAUUCCCAUAAAUAUAUCUCUAAAGAUAAUGCAACAGAAAGAGAAAGCGACUAGGAUUAUUGUUUCACUGUUACUAUAUCAAAU
rnacentral:lncRNA from 1 species